UCCCCUCUAGCUCAAUGGCAGAGCGGCGCCCUGUUACGGCGCGCGCUACUGGUUCGAAUCCAGUGGGGGGAG
rnacentral:tRNA from 1 species